AGCGAACAUUGGCGGUAGGCUUAACACAUGCAAGUCGAGCGAGGCGUAAUAGUCGAGCGGCGAACGGGUGAGUAAUACAUGGGAAUCUACCUCGAAGUGGGGGAUAACGUUCAGAAAUGGACGCUAAUACCGCAUAAUCCGGGAACGGGAAAGCGCGCUGCGCUUUGAGAUGAGCCCAUGGCUGAUUAGCUAGUUGGUGGGGUAAAGGCCUACCAAGGCGACGAUCAGUAGCUGGUCUGAGAGGAUGAUCAGCCACACUGGAACUGAGACACGGUCCAGACUCCUACGGGAGGCAGCAGUGGGGAAUCUUGCGCAAUGGGGGCAACCCUGACGCAGCCAUACCGCGUGUGCGAUGAAGGUCUUCGGAUUGUAAAGCACUUUCAGUGGGGACGACGAUGACGGUACCCACAGAAGAAGUCACGGCUAACUUCGUGCCAGCCGCCGCCGUAA
rnacentral:rRNA from 1 species